GACCUAGAAAUGUUGAAGCAUAACGCGACUCCAUUGUCAAAUUUCCUUCAAUUUCAUUUUAAGGCGAAUAAUCAUCUAUUUUCCUUAGCGCGAAUCUCCUCUUCAAGCAGCAGUCACUCCCAGUCUAAGAUGGAGACAGCUUCUUAUAUGUUUGGGCCAUACAAGAUUCACAAUAAAGAAGUCUUUUAUUCCACUCAUUUCUCUUAUGCCUUGGUCAACCUCCGACCCCUUCUUCCUGGUCAUGUGCUUGUCUGCCCAAGGCGUGAAGUAAAACGCUUUGCUGAGCUUACUACUGAUGAGACUAGCGACUUGUGGCUUACAGCACAAAAAGUUGGCAAGCAACUUGAGUCAUACCACAAGGCGUCUUCUCUUACAUUUGCAAUCCAAGAUGGACCCCAGGCAGGACAGACAGUUCCGCAUGUUCAUAUUCACAUCAUCCCACGGAAAAGUGGCGAUUUUGAAAAGAAUGAUGAGAUUUAUGAUGCUUUGGACGUGAAGGAGAAAGAGAUGAAGCAGUCACUUGAUUUGGACAAGGAAAGGAAAGACAGAAGCAUUGAGGAGAUGGCUGAAGAGGCAGAUGAAUAUAGAAAACUUUUCCAUUGAAGAAGCAGAUGAAACUUUUCUUGUGAUUGGGCUUACAUCAUCUCAUUAUUACUCUCUUAGAGUCUUAACUGUUGGGCAAGUGCUUUGUUAAUCUGUUGUGGAUUCCUUAUAAACUAUAUGUGAUAUAAUUGAAGCUGUUGCUGUUUUCUUCUAUACUCAAAUUCUUU
rnacentral:misc_RNA from 1 species